GGUCGCUCUAGGCCACGCAGCA
rnacentral:miRNA from 8 species